rnacentral:rRNA from 1 species
AUUGAACGCUGGCGGCAUGCUUUACACAUGCAAGUCGAACGGUAACAGGCCUUCGGGUGCUGACGAGUGGCGAACGGGUGAGUAAUGCAUCGGAACGUACCCAGAGUUGGGGGAUAACGCAGCGAAAGCUGUGCUAAUACCGCAUGUGAUCUGAGGAUGAAAGCGGGGGACCGAGCAGCAAUGUUUGGCCUCGCGCCUUUGGAGCGGCCGAUGUCGGAUUAGCUAGUUGGUGGGGUAAAGGCCUACCAAGGCGACGAUCCGUAGCUGGUCUGAGAGGACGACCAGCCACACUGGGACUGAGACACGGCCCAGACUCCUACGGGAGGCAGCAGUGGGGAAUUUUGGACAAUGGGCGCAAGCCUGAUCCAGCAAUGCCGCGUGCGGGAAGAAGGCCUUCGGGUUGUAAACCGCUUUUGGCAGGAACGAAACGGUGUCCGCUAAUACCGGGCGCUAAUGACGGUACCUGCAGAAUAAGCACCGGCUAACUACGUG